rnacentral:rRNA from 1 species
CUUGAAAAAUAUAAGAGGUCCAGCCUGCCCAGUGACAAAGUUCAACGGCCGCGGUACCCUAACCGCGCGAAGGUAGCAUAAUCACUUGUUCUUUAAAUAGGGACUAGUAUCAAUGGCAUCACGAGGGCUGCACUGUCUCCUUUCUCCAAUCAGUGAAACUGAUCUCCCCGUGAAGAAGCGGGGAUUUUGAUAUAAGACGAGAAGACCCCAUGGAGCUUCAAGCAACGAAUUUACCUUUAACUUGUACUUCUACUAAUUUCAAAAGCCUAAAUUCUAGCUUUUGGUUGGGGGGACCGCGGAGUAUAACCUAACCUCCGCAACUAACGGGCUUUGCCCUAAUCCAUGAGCCACACCUCUAAGAAUCAAUAAAUUGAUGCCUUUGACCCGAAAACUCGAUCAAUGGACCA